rnacentral:rRNA from 1 species
GAUGAACGCUGGCGGCGUGCCUAAUACAUGCAAGUCGAGCGAAGCGGGGACGGGUGAGUAACACGUGGAUAACCUCCUAUAAGACUGGGAUAACAUCGGGAAACCGGAGCCAAACCGGAUAAUGAUAGAUGGCGCCGCGCUGCAUUAGCUAGGUGGUAAGGUAACGGCUUCCCAAGGCAACGAUGCCUAGCCGACCUGAGAGGGUGACCGGCCACCCUGGAACUGAGACACGGUCCAGACUCCUACGGGAGGCAGCAGUGGGGAAUCUUCCGCAAUGGGCGAAAGCCUGACAGAGCAACGCCGCGUGAGUGAUGAAGGUCUUCGGCUCGUAAAGCUCUGUUAUUAGGGAAGCGUUACCUAAUCAGAAAGCCCCGGCUAACUACGUGCCAGCAGCCGCGGUAAUAC